rnacentral:rRNA from 1 species
CCCUUAGAUGUUCUGGGCCGCACGCGCGCUACACUGAACAGUUCAACAAGUCUUAACCUUGGCCGAUGGGUCUGGGUAAUCUUUGAACGCUGUUCGUGAUUGGGAUAGACCUUUGCAAUUAUGGGUCUUCAACGAGGAAUUCCUAGUAAACGCAAGUCAUCAGCUUGCAUUGAUUACGUCCCUGCCCUUUGUACACACCGCCCGUCGCACCUACCGAUUGAAUGGUCCGGUGAAAUCUCGGGACGGCGGCUUGGUCGCUUGCGUCCGACUGCUGAAACUUGAUUAAACCAUAUCAUUUAGAGGAAGGUGAAGUCGUANCA